ACUUGAUGUCGUCUCUGGUCCUCUUUGCCAACUGUACAACAUCGUGGUCAUUGCGUCACGGUGCACUGAAAAAACGUGCACUCAGUUGUCAGUGAUGAAUUGAGAGGUUUUGGGAUAACUCGUUCACUGAAUUUGGAUCCGUUUUGAUUUAAUACCACAUUUUAAUGGAAGAUUAAAAAAUAUAUAUAUAUUUCAGGGAUGUUGAACACCACUAAAAGCACAUGACAGUCUUGAUUUGGAUUGCUGAUAUUAAGUUAAAAGUUAAGGAGUCACAGCAUUAGGUUUGUACUCAUGACCACAUUAUCCGAGGCUAAACGCACAGAAACCAAGAAAAGACCAAGACUCCUGAAAGUUGAGACCAAAACAGACCAAAACCAUAAAAAUGACUUUCAGUAUCAAGUUGAAGUGCUGGGAUUGAUGGAAAAUCCUAAAUCCGCAUAGCCGGGGAGUCCAAGAAUGAGACAAGACGAAACCGUGAAAAGGGUCUUGAUACUAAGGCUGUGUUCAGGCCGCAGGGAUAUUUGAUUCCAAUGGGAUUGCUCCUCAAAUCUGAUUUUUAGGGUUGACUGUUCACACUAUUUUUAGCAAGUGUCCAAAUCAGAUCUGGGCCUGUUCACAUUAUUGACACACCUGACAGGUUGUUGCGGCAACGAAGGCGUCAUCCAGCAAAGAGGUACGUUACGGACAGUCAAAUCCCAUCUGAGCUGUUCAGACUGAGAAGUAUCUCGUCCAGAUCGGAUACGAAACUACCUCCUGUAAGUGGUUUCAAUCCGUCUCAUAAAAAUUUGGGGACUGUCUAGACUACAAAAGAGCCAACCAGUUUCAAUUUGGAUGGGCUAAAAAUCAGAUUUGGGUUGACAGUCUGAACAAGGCCAAAAACUGGUUGUCAGAGUUAAAACAUUGGUGACAAUUGUACAAACAAAUAAGGUUGUGCUAUCCGAGUUCUUAUAAAGAAAAGUAACAUUCUUCCAAAUGUCAAACCGAAAGCUGUUGUUCAGGCUAAACUAAACUACUCACGCACGGGCUCAAAUGCAUUGUACUCGAUGUGAUGUGGGACAUCAAGGGAAAGCAACUUCAGAGCGAGCGUAACGCAGCAAUUGAGCAAAUUGAUCUUCCUUCAUUUAAUAAUUUAUAUUUUUAGACACAGUGCCUGGAUAUAUUGUGUGCCUAACACUUCUAAGCACUUUCAAGGACUUUACGCAAAAUUCAAGCAUUUUUAAAACCUUGAAAACACGGCAAUUAAAUCCAAGCAUUUUCAAGGAUUUGUAGGACCCGUACGAACCUAGAUAAUUUGUCCUUAAAAUCAGAUUUGAAGAGGAAUCUGAUUGGAAUCAGAUAUCUUUCCUGCAGUUGAACACAGGCAAAUUUUCCUGAAAUCCUGACGUAAGUUAUGUUCCUUCUCUUGACAAAAUUUGGUUGAAACCAAAUCAGCAAUGUUUGUCUAGACUUGAAAACACCUAAAGGUAGGGGUGUCAAACUCAUUUUGGUUCAGUAGUCAUUUUAUGACAAUUAGAUCUCAUGUAGGCCAGACUAGUAUAUUUUUGGCCAAAUAAGUGAAUUCACUGGCCGCCAUUGACGGUUAAUGAACGAACAUUCAUUUGCCGUCUUCCAGUCAAGGAUUGGACGUUGAGCACCAUUGGUGGCACUGGAAAAUGAGCAUUCACAGCCAGUCCUUCCAGUAGAAGUGAAUUUGACAUCUAUUGCUGUCAAUAGUAGGCAAUGAGGUAAUUUUGGGUCACUUCCAUGUCAUUUUAAGAUACUUACUGGGUAUUUCCAGGCUACUUCCUGUUGGUAUUUGGUCACUUCCUUCUUAGCACAUUGGCUGCCAUUGACGGUGCUAGACGUCCAAUCCAAUUUGACUGGAAGACGGCAAAUGAACGAAUGUAACUGCGCCCAUGAAAGUGAACCAAGUGUGGUAGUGCGAGCCCUCAAUCACACAAAUCUAAUGUUUUACAGCAUUAAUGUUGAUUUUGUAUAUACACACAGGGUUCGUACAGGUCCUUGAAAAUGCUUGGAUUUUAAUGUUGUGUUUUCAAGGUUUGAAAAAUGCUUGAAUUUUGCGUAAAGUCCUUGAAAAAAUUUGGAAGAGUAAGGUUCUCAGGGUGUUCUCAAUACCGUCAGCCUUUCAUACAAAAAUUGUCGAGCCUCCUGGGUCGUAGAACAUUUUGGAAGCCUUUAGCGUACUUGUGAGAAGGAACCAUAUUUUGUAUCUGCUUUAUUGUAAAAAAACAAAAACAAAAAAACAUUGGGAUAUUGAUUAAAAGGUACUGGAAAAACUGAAAAAAUGGUCUCAAAAAUCCUUAAAAAGUGCUUGAAUUUGGACAUGAAAAAGGUGUACAAACCCUGUGUACAGUAUAAAGAAGCUACAACGUGCCUAUCAGGUAGAACAACCCCGCGAGCCGUACAUUUGCCAUCCCCUGCAUAAAAGCAUAUAAAUAUGGAAGCACAUGAUCAAAAAAUACUGGUUAAAAUCUUUAAUUGUAACAAAUAAAGAUCAUUGAGAAAAAAAACGUCCAUGAAUAAUGCAAUUCAGGGAAAGAAAUAUGCCAAAGUGAGUGGAGUGGAUCUUGAUCUUUAACGUAUCCAGACAUAUAUAAACAUAGUGCGGGCUUCUAAAAAAAAUAAAUAAAUGAAAGAGGUUGUUGUGCGACCAGCUGUCUCUUUGGCAGGCUGGACAGUGAUCAGAAGGAAGAUGACAUAAACCAUAAUAUCUUUCUCUGCCUAUAUUCGUCAAGAUGUAAGCGAAUGCCCAGAUUGCGGACCUCUGUGGCCCAAAAACCGUGUCCCUGUUUGGCGUCACCGAGGUGCUAUGAAUAGACGCUGGCGUAUCGUCAGUGCCGUCAGCUGGGCAUUGGCACGUGUGUCUCAUGCGCUCCUGCCUGGUGUCGCUGCACCGGCAGCACAUUGGUGUUGCCAUGGAAACAAGAAUGAGCAGCUACCCCUGCCCUGACAUCCGUUGUUGGGUUUUCUCAAGAAAAGUCUUCCUCUUUCUUUGUGUGGUGUUUUCUCUUUUUGAUUUCUACUUUCUACCGUGUGGCAUCAACUCAGGCAUUUUAGGUAAAGUGCAAGAGUGUCUUUUUCCAACUCUCCCCAUGCGUGGUGUGGAAGAGACUAAUGGAGAGAAUUUACUCUGCACUGAUGGGCAGGCGAGAAGCCAUAUGGCAGGCCAGCAUCUGAAACCAUGUGGAAUACAGAGUUGCAAGAAUAGAAUGUGGCCAAGGCAGAAUGACCUGGAUUUCUGCAUAAAUUGGUCAAAUUAUUGAUUUGAUCUCACCAUAGCGAUGCAAUCUGGACACUCAUUGGAUUUCUCCAAAUGGCAUUCUGCUGAGGAUUGUUGGACUGUUGUGUCAACUACUGUUGCAUUUUUUGUUUUUCCUGUAAUACUUGUACUCCAAGGAAAAUGUUUUUUUUUUCUUCUUGUUUUGGUUUUCUGGAAAAUAAGAAAUGUUGAGAUUCUUCUCUUAAUGUUAAUGAGGAAUAAAUCAUUUUUUAAUUUGAAUCUAUAAACUUUGACUAUUUAUGUAAAGUUCUCAGAUUUUAGCUUAUAAUAUGUUGAUAUUACUGUCAUACCAUGUAUUAUAAAUAUUUAUUGUGUAAUAUUCCAACUUUAUUGUUGUUUCAUUUUGAGUUUUCUUUUUGUUAGUGUCAAAUAUUUCAAAUUUUCUUGAAUUCUGACUACAGUUUAAUAUUAGAGCUGUCCAAUAUUAUCCGGUAGUUUAAAAAUGAUAUCGGAUUAUAUUGACAUCGGUUUUGGGCCAAUAUGCAUAUGGCAGUGCUGUCAUGUUCACUUAUUGCCUGCUGGCGCUAGGUGUAAUUAGUUUUGAAAAGUUCCAGCACUUUCUGCUUCAUUGCGAAUAGAGAGAGACAGUAAAUGGAUGAGCUAACGUCUGCAGCCAAUGUACCAUAGCAGUUCUUGCCAUCUCACCAUGUCAUUUGUUCCUUAUACAAGCAUAAUUUGUAGUUAUAAUCUUCCUUUGUUUUAUAUUGAUGAGCACUGUAUAGUGUAUUGGAGAUGUGUAUAUAUUGUUUUGUUUGUGGCUACAUUAUUUCACGGCUUGCAAGCUGUACUACCAGUUGCUAUUCAAAUUGACAGGUUGUGAAUACUUCACUUUAUUUGUGACUUUAUUUUAUACACAAUGUUUUGUUGUUUUUAGUUUUACAAAAAAGUAUCAGUGCUCUUGUCAAGAGA